GUCAUCCUCAGGCUUGCAUGCAUGGAGUGGGGUUCGCAGUGGAGAUGUGGAGGAGCAUGGAGUGUCGAACGCAAUAGGCACAAGUUUGGGUUGGAUUAUAACAUAAAUGAAGUCCCAAUAAUCGAAGAUGUAAUAGUUUCUGCUUGUAGCUCUGACUUAGAUAGACAAAGGUACCGAUGGAAAUAUGUCAGAGAAAGAAUAGCCAAAGAAAACUUAAUACAUACACACCCCAAUCACACGAGCAAUAGUCUACUAAAGAGAACUGAAGACUGAUUAAUAGAAAAUGGAUAUACCAUUACCAGAGAUGACAAAUCUAGAAGAAUGGUUUUAAUGAAAGAGGAAGCUUAUGAGGCACAUCUUUUAGACUACAUAGCCGCAACCCAGCCAAAACUGGUAAAACAAAGAUCCAAUGUUCCAAUUAAAAGCACCUUAGAUAGAAUAACAUCUAACCUGUUAUUUCCCCAAGAGUAGAAACAUAACAGAGUCCAAGCACCAGCAUGUCCGCGCCUCUUUGUGUACAUGAAGACGCACAAACAACCUGUUAAACCA
rnacentral:lncRNA from 1 species